CGUCCUCCUUUACCCUCCAAACCCACAGACAACACAAGAGGAAGCUGAGGUGGAGGCACAGCAGAGCCACAGUCAGCUGUGCGUGCACACUGAUGGCCUUCUCUGGACGCUUCUUUCUGAAGGAGGAACAACAGAAGGAUCUAUGUCAGAGCUGCCAGAUCUGAAAAGGAAAACAAGCAUCCAGAGGAUUCCUGAUAUGUCUAUGAACAGAGUGAAAAACUCACUGUAGACACAGGUAGAUGAUCAAACUGAUGACCGUGAAGACGACGCUCAGCGAUGAUCCAAUGUAG